GGCUGACAACAUCAGGCGAAACAGGAACAUGUCCCAUGUUCGAGAUGACACUCAAGUUGUGGUGGAAAAACUUAAGGUGCUAGGUGUCUGACCCCUGCUUCUGCUUGGGAAGUAUGAUAGAAAGAGGGAGGCACGGAGGGCAGAAUGCCUCUGCCCCUACAACCUCCCUGACCAGGCCAAGGCAAUUCUGGAUAGAAUUGAAAUACUAUAUAGGGCACUAUUGGAAGAUGGACUCCACCCGGAGGGGACAGCAGGCGGGGAGAAAGUAGAAAGAGGAAGAGAGAAGA